GGAGGUCUGGGUGCCUCCUGUCCAGGGUAUGAGCCCUUGAAGGAGCUUUGGAAGGGAAAAGAGCAGAUGUCGCCUCUUGCCCCAGGUCUUCGCAGGGCAGGAGUGUGCCUGGUGGUGCGGACCUGGGGCCUCCCUAGGGAAGAGGGUCGGGGAUCAGCAGCCAGAGGAGGAAGAGCUAUGAGUCUGGAAUGAAGAGAUGAGAAGCUGGAGCUUCUUAUGUGAAAAAUAACCCUCCAGCCAUGGCUGCGUCACCAGGCACAGGACUGCAUCCUGUGGUUUCGCCUAGAAUUCUUGACCAAGGCAUCCCUCCCCGUGUUCUCUCCUGGCCUCCCUGCCUUCUGCUACUCAAUCUCCAGUAGCCCAGCUAC
ensembl:lncRNA novel transcript